GGGCUCACACAAGCGGUGGAGCAUGUGGAUCAAUUCGAAGCAACGCGAAGAACCUUACCUGGGUUUGACAUGCACGGAUGGUCUCGGUGAAAGCUGAGUAAUCUGCCUUCGGGUGAAACGUGCACAGGUGCUGCAUGGCUGUCGUCAGCUCGUGCUGUGAAGUGUCGGGUUAAGUCCCUUAACGAGCGAAACCCUUGUCGCUAGUUACCAGCGGGUCAUGCCGGGGACUCUAGCGAGACUGCCGGCGUUAAGCCGGAGGAAGGUGGGGACGACGUCAAGUCAUCAUGGCCUUUAUGCCCAGGGUUUCACACGUGCUACAAUGGGGUGUACAAAGCGACGCAAGACCGUGAGGUGGAGCAAAUCGCACAAAACAUCCCUCAGUUCAGAUUGGGGUCUGCAACCCGACCCCAUGAAGUUGGAAUCGCUAGUAAUCGCGUAUCAGCCAUGACGCGGUGAAUAUGUUCCUGAGCCUU
rnacentral:rRNA from 1 species